GGAUGUGAAGGUCGCUGGGGACUCUUCCUGGCAUUGUAGGUGUGAGACGUGAAGGAUGUGAGAAAAGGUUCAUGGAAGAGUUAUUCUCUCUAGCAUAGAAUCAACCUCCAAGAUCACCCAGAUGGAUAAAAAUAGGGAACAGGGACAUGAACAACCAGGAGGAACAACUCAAGC